AUCAAAGGUUAAUUUCCAGUUGAAAGAGAACGACCAUAGCUGAAUGGUUAACGAAGUUUGGCGUAGCUGGCACUCUCAAAAGAGUGUGUUAACUACUCACAAACGUAUUCACACAGGAGAGAAACCAUAUCACUGUAAUAUCUGUGGUAAAUCAUUCUCUCAAAGCUAUGACUUAACUAAACACAUACGUGUUCAUACAGGAGAGAAGCCAUUUCGCUGUGAUAUUUGUGGUAAAUCAUUCUCUCGAAAUGAUACUUUAACAUCUCACAAGCGUAUCCAUACAGAGGAGAAGCCAUUUCACUGUGAUAUCUGUGGUAAAUCAUUCUCUCAAAGCAAUCACUUAACUAAACACAUACGUAUUCAUACAGGUGACAAACCAUAUGAGUGUGAUGUCUGUGGGAAAUCAUUCUCUGAUAGAAGUGCCUUAAUUAGUCACGAACGUAAUCACACAGGAGAUAAACCAUUUCGUGUGAUAUCUGUGGUAAAUCAUUCCCUACAAACAGUCAUUUAACUAAACACAGACGUAUUACACAGGAGAGAAACCAUUUCACUGUGAUAUCUGUGGUAAAUCAUUCUCUGAGAAACGUUCCUUAACUGCACACGUAUGUAUCCAUACAAGAAUUUGACUGUAUUAUUUAUGAAAUGUCUUUGCAGCACACAGUAAGGGACAUUUUAAAAGCCUUUCUCCUUGUGGGCAUUGUCAGUAAAUGAUGAACCCUUGGUAACAUUCAUAAUCAUCAGGGUUCCUUUUUGAGGUAUUGUUAAUGAUGCCAACCCUUUUCGUAAGCACUUACCUGGGACACACAUAGUUUUGCUGGGCACAGGUAUUUGUUAGAAUUCUGUGUAGAAAAUAAUUUGUAUAACCAUAAAUAUUCCCACUUUAGGAACCACUAGAUUAGACAAUUGUGAGGAGUGGAAACAGUGAUGUGCAGAUAAAUAUAGUUGUGUGUGUAGCAGAAUGUAGCAGACACGAGAGGCCCGUUGAUAUUAAAGCUGAAAUCUAAAAGAGGAGAAACGUGUGAGGCAGUGCAGCAUCAUGAGAGCAGAUGGUGGAGAAAUCCAGGUGAACAUCUUCUAGAGUAACUGGGUUUUUAGGAAGACACAAUUUCUUGCAUUCUGAAAAUAUAUACUCCAUGAA